AGAUGCCUGAUCCAUCCAGAGGGGGACGAGACAGGGCACCGGCCCCGGGGCCAGCCUCUGCGCCCUCCUUUCUUACCGGAGUCUGGAAGGGUGCAGUCCACGUCGUCAUCCUGGACGAUCACGUCCUUUUUCAAGAUCUUGAUGGCAUACAGCUCAUCGGAGCCCCUGCGUUCGGCCAGCAUCACCUAAGGACAGAGGUCCAAAGGCCCAGUCCGUCUGGGGAACCCAGCCAACCCCAGGAAUCCAACCUUCCCAAAGCUGCCUUUUCCUAGAACCAUGAGGAAGCUGAAGUCCGAGAUGUGCAGGCGUCCUGGGCCGGCCCCGAAGAAGCAGCGCUUGGGGAGGGGCGCCCCUGGCUGAACUGCUGUGAUGGCUUCCACACCUGUCCCCACAUUGACUGCUGCCCUUUCUAAAGCAUUCUCUACUCAGCAGGCAGAGGGACCAAUUUAAAAAUAAAUAAACCAGGUCAUGUCUCCCCUAUGCUUGCAAACCCUCUAAUAGCUUCUCUCUCUGUUAGGAUUUUAUUCCAUGUGGCUUGCAAAGCCACGCUCUGCUGACCCUGCUCUUCUCCCUCUCUCCUCCGUGAUCUGGCCACCCCGGCCUCAUGUGCUGUGCUCCCUCCCACGUCAGGGACUUCGAAUUUCUUCCUGAAAAACUCUCCCCUCCCCUUUCCUCUUAGUUUCCUCUCAAACAUCCUUUGUGUAGCCCUUGACUCAAACUCACUUCCUAGAGGCCUCUUUGGACUUUUUAACCUUUUCAAGUGCCUCUCUCAGCUCCCUUUGCCACCGGGGACUGUGUCUUGGUAGCAUUUCUCUUAGCAAUGCACAUCUGUCUAUGUGACUGUCUGCUUACUGUCUGUGCGCUCCCUAAGACAGGGCUUGGUUUUGUUUUCCAAGACAUGGUAACAGAGCCCGGGACGUAGUUGGGGCUAACACGAGAUUUACUGAAUGACACAGUCUUGUGCAGAAGAGCAGUCUGACGGCCUGUGUUCCGGUCCAGCUCUGCCACUUGUUGGGACAUCUAACCUUGUCUACAAAGCAGGGACAAUCAGACUAUCUCCCACAUAGACACGUUGUGAAUGUCAGCUACAUAAACACAUGCAAGGCCGGGCGCGGUGGCUCAUGCCUGUAAUCCUAGCACUCUGGGAGCCCGAGGCAGGUGGAUUGCUCAA